UACGGAGGGUGCAAGCGUUAAUCGGAAUUACUGGGCGUAAAGCGUGCGCAGGCGGUUAUGUAAGACAGAUGUGAAAUCCCCGGGCUCAACCUGGGAACUGCAUUUGUGACUGCAUAGCUAGAGUACGGUAGAGGGGGAUGGAAUUCCGCGUGUAGCAGUGAAAUGCGUAGAUAUGCGGAGGAACACCGAUGGCGAAGGCAAUCCCCUGGACCUGUACUGACGCUCAUGCACGAAAGCGUGGGGAGCAAACAGG
rnacentral:rRNA from 1 species